rnacentral:SRP_RNA from 1 species
GCCGGGUGUGGUGGUGUACACUUGUAAUCCCAGCACUUUGGGAGGCUGAGGUGGGUGGAUCACCUGAGGUCAGGAGUUUGAGACCAGCCUGGCCAACAUGGUGAAACCCCAUCUCUA